rnacentral:rRNA from 1 species
UGAGGAAUAUUGGUCAAUGGACGAGAGUCUGAACCAGCCAAGUAGCGUGCAGGAUGACGGCCCUAUGGGUUGUAAACUGCUUUUAUGUGGGGAUAAAGUGCGUGACGUGUCAUGCAUUGCAGGUACCACAUGAAUAAGGACCGGCUAAUUCCGUGCCAGCAGCCGCGGUAAUACGGAAGGUCCGGGCGUUAUCCGGAUUUAUUGGGUUUAAAGGGAGCGUAGGCCGUUUGGUAAGCGUGUUGUGAAAUGUAGGAGCUCAACUUCUAGAUUGCAGCGCGAACUGUCAGACUUGAGUGCGCACAACGUAGGCGGAAUUCAUGGUGUAGCGGUGAAAUGCUUAGAUAUCAUGAAGAACUCCGAUUGCGAAGGCAGCUUACGGGAGCGCAACUGACGCUGAAGCUCGAAGGUGCGGGUAUCGAACAGG